AGGCGGCAGGCGCGCAAAUUACCCACUCCCGGCACGGGGAGGUAGUGACGAAAAAUAACGAUACGGGACUCAUCCGAGGCCCCGUAAUCGGAAUGAGUACACUCUAAACCCUUUAACGAGGAUCAAUUGGAGGGCAAGUCUGGUGCCAGCAGCCGCGGUAAUUCCAGCUCCAAUAGCGUAUAUUAAAGUUGUUGCGGUUAAAAAGCUCGUAGUCGAAUCUGUGUCUCGCGCCGCCGGUUCAUCGCUCGCGGUGUCUAACUGGCGUGUCGCGGGACGUCCUGCCGGUGGGCUUUGCCUCUCGGGGCGGCCCAACUUAGAAUCCCACCGCGGUGCUCUUCGCUGAGUGUCGAGGUGGGCCGGCACGUUUACUUUGAACAAAUUAGAGUGCUUAAAGCAGGCUAAAAUUUCGCCUGAAUAUUCUGUGCAUGGAAUAAUGGAAUAGGACCUCGGUUCUAUUUUGUUGGUUUUCGGAACCCCGAGGUAAUGAUUAAUAGGAACGGAUGGGGGCAUUCGUAUUGCGACGUUAGAGGUGAAAUUCUUGGAUCGUCGCAAGACGAACAGAAGCGAAAGCAUUUGCCAAAAACGUUUUCAUUGAUCAAGAACGAAAGUUAGAGGUUCGAAGGCGAUCAGAUACCGCCCUAGUUCUAACCAUAAACGAUGCCAGCUAGCGAUCCGCCGACGUUCCUCCGAUGACUCGGCGGGCAGCUUCCGGGAAACCAAAGCUUUUGGGUUCCGGGGGAAGUAUGGU
rnacentral:rRNA from 1 species